AUUGAACGCUGGCGGCAUGCCUUACACAUGCAAGUCGAACGGCAGCACGGGAGCAAUCCUGGUGGCGAGUGGCGAACGGGUGAGUAAUAUAUCGGAACGUGCCCAGUAGUGGGGGAUAGCCCGGCGAAAGCCGGAUUAAUACCGCAUGAGACCUAAGGGUGAAAGCGGGGGAUCGCAAGACCUCGCGCUAUUGGAGCGGCCGAUACCAGAUUAGCUAGUUGGUGGGGUAAAGGCCUACCAAGGCAACGAUCUGUAGUUGGUCUGAGAGGACGACCAGCCACACUGGGACUGAGACACGGCCCAGACUCCUACGGGAGGCAGCAGUGGGGAAUUUUGGACAAUGGGCGCAAGCCUGAUCCAGCAAUGCCGCGUGCAGGAAGAAGGCCUUCGGGUUGUAAACUGCUUUUGUCAGGGAAGAAAUCCUCUGGGUUAAUACCUCGGGGGGAUGACGGUACCUGAAGAAUAAGCACCGGCUAACUACGUGCCAGCAGCCGCAGUAAGAC
rnacentral:rRNA from 1 species